GAAAAUUUACCUUUUUAUAUGGAAUUUUGGUGGUAGAUCACAACAUUCUCCACUUAUGUUGCUUAAUUAAGCUUAGUGUUAAGUUAAUCAAGUUUAAAGUAAUUAAUUAAAAUUUAAAAUAUUAAUUAAGGUAUAUAAGGAAUUUAAAAGGAAAAAAAUGAGAUAUUUUCUCAUCAUCUUCAUUCUUUCUCACGGAUAAGGGGAAGAAAACAUAGGGUUUAUUCAUUUGAACUUUAUUUCUUCAAUUGGUAAGUGAUUUCAAGCACAUUUCUUA
rnacentral:lncRNA from 1 species